rnacentral:rRNA from 1 species
UACGAAGGGGGCGAGCGUUGUUCGGAAUUACUGGGCGUAAAGGGCGCGUAGGCGGUUCGGUAAGUCCUGUGUGAAAUCCCUCGGCUCAACUGAGGAACUGCACGGGAGACUGCCGGGCUUGAGUUCGGGAGAGGGAAGCGGAAUUCCGGGUGUAGCGGUGAAAUGCGUAGAUAUCCGGAGGAACACCGGUGGCGAAGGCGGCUUCCUGGACCGACACUGACGCUGAGGCGCGAAGGCAUGGGGAGCGAACGGG